UACGUAGGGUGCAAGCGUUGUCCGGAAUUAUUGGGCGUAAAGAGCUCGUAGGCGGUUUGUCGCGUCUGCUGUGAAAACCCGAGGCUCAACCUCGGGCCUGCAGUGGGUACGGGCAGACUAGAGUGCGGUAGGGGGAGAUUGGAAUUCCUGGUGUAGCGGUGGAAUGCGCAGAUAUCAGGAGGAACACCAAUGGCGAAGGCAGAUCUCUGGGCCGUAACUGACGCUGAGGAGCGAAAGCUAGGGGAGCGAAUGGG
rnacentral:rRNA from 1 species